GUUACCAAACAAAAAAGCGCGCGAACUAGCAACGGACUAUCCAUCUGCUAGGGUUUCACUUAACAUUUUUCCAAAGAAAAUCGCCAUGGCUAUUGAAUGUCUCGUUCUCGGUGCUGGACAGGAGGUUGGAAAAAGCUGUGUAAUCGUAACAAUCAAUGGAAAACGCAUAAUGUUCGAUUGCGGGAUGCAUAUGGGAUACGAUGAUCACCGUCGAUAUCCUGAUUUCUCUCUUAUUUCUGAAUCUCGAGAUUUUGAUGCUGCUUUGGAUUGUGUUAUUAUCACUCACUUUCAUUUGGAUCACAUUGGUGCUCUUCCUUACUUCACUGAAGUUUGUGGAUAUCGUGGCCCUGUUUACAUGACGUAUCCAACAAAGGCACUGGCCCCUUUGAUGUUGGAGGAUUAUCGGAAAGUAAUGGUUGAUAGAAGAGGGGAGGAAGAGCAAUUUACUUCUGAUCAUAUUAAACAAUGCAUGAAUAGAGUUAUAGCAGUGGACCUGAAGCAGACUGUGCAGGUUGACAAAGAUCUUCAAAUCCGUGCCUACUAUGCUGGCCAUGUUCUUGGAGCUGCAAUGUUUUAUGCAAAGGUGGGGGACUCUGGUAUGGUGUACACAGGAGACUAUAAUAUGACUCCAGAUAGGCAUCUUGGCGCAGCUCAAAUCGAUCGAUUGCAGCUUGACCUUCUCAUAACAGAGUCAACAUAUGCAACAACUAUACGGGAUUCAAAAUAUGCUCGGGAGAGGGAAUUUCUUAAAGUUGUUCACAAAUGUGUGGCUGCUGGUGGAAAAGUCCUGAUACCCACAUUUGCUCUUGGAAGAGCUCAGGAACUCUGCAUAUUGUUAGAUGAUUACUGGGAGCGCAUGAAUCUAAAAGUUCCUAUUUACUUCUCAGCAGGUUUGACAAUUCAAGCAAAUAUGUACUACAAAAUACUUAUCGGCUGGACCAGCCAGAAGAUCAAAGAGACAUAUACUACACGCAAUGCAUUUGAUUACAAAAAUGUUCAUCCUUUUGACCGUUCUCUUAUUGAUGCUCCUGGACCAUGUGUUCUCUUUGCCACACCUGGGAUGAUUAGUGGUGGAUUCUCACUUGAGGUUUUUAAACGUUGGGCUCCAUGCGAGAUGAAUCUAGUAACAUUGCCUGGAUAUUGUGUUGCUGGAACCAUUGGACACAAGUUGAUGUCAGGUAAACCUACUAAAAUUAAUUUGGACAAGGACACCCAAAUUGAUGUGCGAUGCCAGAUUCAUCAAUUGUCUUUCAGUCCCCAUACAGAUGCGAAAGGAAUUAUGGAUCUUGUUAAAUUUCUCUCCCCUAAACAUGUAAUUCUAGUACAUGGUGAGAAGCCUAAGAUGGCUUCUCUCAAAGAAAGAAUUCAGUCUGAAUUGGAAAUUCAAUGUUAUGUUCCUGCAAAUUGUGAAUCAGUGCGCAUUCCUUCGACUAUCUAUGUGAAAGCAAAUGCCUCUGAUGCCUUUAUCAACAGUUGCAUGAGUCCUAAUUUCAAGUUUAUGGACAAAAGUUUAGAGGAUGCAUCUGAUAACUUAGAAAGCAUAAGUGCUGCAUCUGGACUUCAGGUGAGUGAUGAAAGAGCUGCUGACGGAAUAUUGGUUAUGGAAAAGAACAAGAAGGCGAAGGUUGUCCACCAAGAUGAGCUUCUGCUCAUGUUGGGAGAAAAACAGCACAAGAUUCAGUUUGCUUAUUGUUGUUCGGUAAACGUUAACAACUUGGAUCAGACUGUAAGAGACCGUAGCUCGGCAGAUGAUGAACUUGACUCCUCUGAGAAACCUCGUUGGCUUCAGCAAUUAUUCAUAAGACUUUCAAAUGAUUUUCCUGGACGGAUCGUUCACAACUUUGGGGAACAUCUUAAAGUGGAGUCAUUUAAAGUAUCGACUUGUCUGAAGGAUGACUGCCCUUACAGAAAAACUAGUAGUAUAAGAAAACCAGGAGUGUUUUUUUGUUGCACUUGGUCUACGGGUGAUGAAAAGUUUGCAUGGGAAAUCAUUUCGACAAUGGAGAAGUGUCAUUUGACUAUUGAAAAAUUCAGUGUCAGUUCUGAAUGAAAAACUUGUGCUGCUGGGAGCGCAUCUGAUUAUUGAAGAACUCAUUGAAACGUAAGUACUGAAGAAUCAACAAUGAGCUCUUGGGCAUUAAUUCACGACUUGUUGGCACCAAGGAACCAGCUGCAGUUAACACUGGUAAAGCAUCAUUUAAAUCAUUUCCUCUAGUAUUUAAUAGAGAGUCUAAUUUUUGAUAUGCUGUGCUUUCUUAAGCCUUUAUAUUGAAACUCGACCAUGGCUUUCGGCAGCUAAAUGAGAAGAGCAUUGUGAUUUAGAGUCGGAUAUCAGCAUUUUAUGUCUUUUGUAUAGGAAGUAAAAGCAAAGGACGAGUAGGGAUUGAAGUACAGAUGAAUAAUGGAGAAAGAAAAAGCCAUCUGCCAGUCAACACAGGGAAACCCCAUACCUCAUCUGACUCGCAGCUUAGAUGUGCAUUCGGUUUAAACCAAUCAACCCGACUUUUUUUUUUAUUAAAAUUGAGUCGAAUUAAAAUUUUAAGGUAUUAAAAUUUCUCGGACCAAACUGGUUGGUUCGGUCAAUCUUCAGUUCGAUUCCGCUAUUUUAAUUUGGCUUAUAGUAAAAAAAUCUUAUAUCCAACACCCGUAUCAAACCAAAAAAAAAAAACUAGUAUUAGUUAGUUUGGUUUGAUUACUACAUUCGAUUCAGUUUUUGCACGUGCUCAAUCACUCACAACAGAAUGGGUGAAUGAGACUUGAGAGGACCAUUCCCUUUAUAUGGACAAAAUAGGAUCUUUCGCGUAUGCCUCCAAUUUCACAUGCAUUUUCUACGUCAA